rnacentral:rRNA from 1 species
ACGGGGAUAAGACAUCGGAAGAGCUGCUUGCAGAAUGGAAGAAGUCAUAUUCUAGUGGCGGACGGGUGAGUAACGCGUGGGCAACCUGCCUUAUACAGGGGGAUAACAGCUGGAAACAGCUGCUAAUACCGCAUAAGCGCACAGCGGCGCAUGACGCAGUGUGAAAAACUGAGGUGGUAUAAGAUGGGCCCGCGUCUGAUUAGCUGGUUGGGAGGGUAACGGCCUACCAAGGCGACGAUCAGUAGCCGGCCUGAGAGGGCGGACGGCCACAUUGGGACUGAGACACGGCCCAGACUCCUACGGGAGGCAGCAGUGGGGAAUAUUGCACAAUGGGGGGAACCCUGAUGCAGCGACGCCGCGUGAGUGAAGAAGUAUUUCGGUACGUAAAGCUCUAUCAGCAGGGAAGAAAAAAGGACGGUACCUGAGUAAGAAGCCCCGGCUAACUACGUGCCAGCAGCCGCGGUAAUACGUAGGGGGCAAGCGUUAUCCGGAAUUACUGGGUGUAAAGGGAGCGUAGACGGCAAUGCAAGUCCGGAGUGGAAUGCGGCAGCUCAACUGCCGAACUGCUCUGGAAACUGUAUGGCUUGAGUGCAGGAGGGGUAAGCGGAAUUCCUGGUGUAGCGGUGAAAUGCGUAGAUCUCUUUGAAAACACCGGUGGCGAAGGCGGCUUACUGGACUGUAACUGACGUUGAGGCUCGAA